rnacentral:hammerhead_ribozyme from 1 species
AUCCAGCUGACGAGUCCAAAAUAGGAUGAAACACUCAUCCUUGAU